rnacentral:rRNA from 1 species
UACGUAGGGUGCGAGCGUUGUCCGGAAUUAUUGGGCGUAAAGGGCUCGUAGGCGGUUUGUCGCGUCGGGAGUGAAAACCAGGUGCUUAACACCUGGCUUGCUUUUCGAUACGGGCAGACUAGAGGUAUGCAGGGGGGAGAACGGAAUUCCUGGUGUAGCGGUGAAAUGCGCAGAUAUCAGGAGGAACACCGGUGGCGAAGGCGGUUCUCUGGGGCAUGACCUGACGCUGAGGUGCGAAAGCGUGGGGGAGCAAACAGG